rnacentral:rRNA from 1 species
AAUAGAUACCCGGGUAGUCCACGCCCUAAACUAUGUCAACUAGUUGUCGGGGAAGAAAUUCCUUGGUAACGCAGCUAACGCGUGAAGUUGACCGCCUGGGGAGUACGGCCGCAAGGUUAAAACUCAAAGGAAUUGACGGGGACCCGCACAAGCGGUGGAUUAUGUGGAUUAAUUCGAUGCAACGCGAAAAACCUUACCUACCCUUGACAUGUACGGAAUUCCGCAGAGAUGUGGAAGUGCCCGAAAGGGAACCGUAACACAGGUGCUGCAUGGCUGUCGUCAGCUCGUGUCGUGAGAUGUUGGGUUAAGUCCCGCAACGAGCGCAACCCUUGCCAUUAGUUGCUACAUUCAGUUGGGCACUCUAAUGGGACCGCCGGUGACAAACCGGAGGAAGGUGGGGAUGACGUCAAGUCCUCAUGGCCCUUAUGGGUAGGGCUUCACACGUAAUACAAUGGUCGGUACAGAGGGCUGCCAACCCGCAAGGGGGAGCUAAUCCCAGAAAGCCGAUCGUAGUCCGGAUUGUAGUCUGCAACUCGACUGCAUGAAGCCGGC